UUUUCCGGUUACUUAACAUCUCUGUGCCUCUCUCUCCCCGUGUGUCCCUUUAGACAACGGUCCUGGGGCAGGCCAAUUUGGGCCCAGAAGUGUACAGGACAGGAAGCACGGCAAAGGCCUGGAAAGACCAAGAAUGCUCAAAGCAAGAAAAUCAGGAGGGCUUGUGAGAUCACAAAAAUCGAUGCCUUUGUUGUGAGAUCACCAAUUCCUUGAGUAGAGAGGAGCAAACCCUCUGGUUAUUACAGAGGAGACCAGCCUGCAGCUUGGGAGGAUUCUAAUUUGUCCCCACGAUGUUGCUAACAGGAGCGACACAUUUCAUGUGCUAGCAACAUGGUCUGCAUAUAUAAUGCGACGGCAGCAGCUUGGGACAGCAGGCUUCCCAGGAUAAUGAACAAUCUUACAUCAGGCCUUCGUUCACCUUCACUAGGCGAGAUGUGCGAAGAUCUUGCCGUAAGAGCAUUCGCGCUAAGCGUGCGGCAACACGGG